AUGAACGCUAGCGACAGGCCUAACACAUGCAAGUCAGGGGCAGCACAAGGAGCAAUCUGAGGUGGCGACCGGCGCACGGGUGAGUAACACGUAUGCAACCUGCCUGUAAGCGGGGAAUAACCCGUUGAAAGACGGACUAAUACCGCAUAAUACUAAAUUACUGCAUGGUAAUUUAUUUAAACAUUUAUGGCUUACAGAUGGGCAUGCGCAUGAUUAGCUAGUUGGAGAGGUAACGGCUCCCCAAGGCAACGAUCAUUAGGGGUUCUGAGAGGAAGGUCCCCCACACUGGUGCUGAGACACGGACCAGACUCCUACGGGAGGCAGCAGUGAGGAAUAUUGGUCAAUGGACGAGAGUCUGAACCAGCCAAGUCGCGUGCAGGAAGAAUGUCCUAAUGGAUUGUAAACUGCUUUUGCAGGGGAAUAAAGUGCAUCACGUGUGAUGUUUUGUAUGUACUCUGCGAAUAAGGAUCGGCUAACUCCGUGCCAGCCGCUGC
rnacentral:rRNA from 1 species